AGCUUUGCGCAGUGGCAGUAUCGUAGCCAAUGAGGUUUAUCCAAGGCAUGAUUAUUGCUAAUUGAAAAUUACUAUAUGUAAUAACAAACUCAAAUCAAAAUUUCCAGGAGUCAUUUUUGCACACAGUAUUAUUA
rnacentral:snRNA from 1 species